rnacentral:lncRNA from 1 species
AGAAGAAUGACAGACACGUAUGUAAGCUUUGAAUCUAGCUUCAUUAAACAUUCAUAUUUGUUAGGGUAAAUUCUAAGGCUAACCCCUGUUAAUCUUAACACAGUACUAUCAAUAUAACUUCUAAAAAGAUGCACCCAAAACACAUUGAAUCAACAAGUGCCAAGAAGAACACAAUUAUAAAUAUCCAAAAAAUUUACAAGUUAACAGCACAAUCCCACUUAUACAUGCCAAAAUAGAAGGGAACUUCCAGUUUUAGUCGUGGCUGAGUGAGGUCUCAGCAUCCGAUCAAGAAGAUGCUACAACUGGUUAUACUUAAGUUAUCAAACUAGCAUAGACAAUAAACCAAAACACAGUAUGACUAUAUAGAUAAUUAAACAGCAAGGGAUCUACCCUUUACAAUUUCAUAACUCGAAUUACAUGUCUCACACAAAGCUUAACCCAAGCUUCAUUUCUAUUUUUUCAUACACUUCACUUAUCUCAUUCAUAAAACAAAGUCCAUAACUUCAGCUUAUCAUUUAGUGAAUUCUGAAGAAAUACCUGGAAGUAAAAUGAAACAAAAGAAGUGAGGAUUCUGCAACAGAAAAGCAGCCAUCAGACAACUGCAAAACUAGUUCGACCAAUUUGAGUUUUGGAAACAAUGAGAAAAUCAACUUCACUCGAGCAAACACCAAGGCCAUCCCCAAAAUCAAAAUCCAAACAACCAGUUUCAAACCAUUUGAGCAAUAUUCACCAUUAAACCUUUUCAAAAAGUGAAGAACUUAAGAAAUCACUAGAAAUUUUUUAUGGAACAGCAGCCCUCUCAGCUAUUUUGUAUUUCUCUGAUUUUUCUCUUCUUAAAAACUUACUUGAAAUGCAAGGAAAAGCUCCAUUUAUAGGCAAGGAAAGUAGGGUAAACAACAAGUUUCAGUUUUGCAUUAUUGCCCUUUUUGAAUUUUCGUUUUUGCCUAGAUGGCCUUAAUUAGAAAUCUGAAUAUCAAUUUUAACCAUCCACCCAGCUUCUAGGAAGCUUCCUAAUUGGUUAUUUGAGAGAUUCUCUCAAUCAAUUACCUAAAUUACCCUUCGAAUCCUUUAUUUUUACUCUUAGCAACCAGACAAAUCAAACCUGACGCAAAUCUCCGAAUAGAGACGGGGAUCUUAAUGCCCUCAAAUCUAACUUACUACAGGGCCUAAAACUAAUCACAAACCAGCCCAGUAACGAAUCAAGCAAAGGCUGACAAGAGCCCAAAAUAAUGAACAACUCUGAAUUGAAUACAACAGGAACCCAAAUCAAACAAAGACAAGUUCCAAUAAAGUAUUAAUCUAAUUACAUGAUUGAAAAUCUUAAAAAUUACUGAUUUUUAUUAUACAGAAAAUAAUUUGACUCACAAGAACAUAUGAAAACCAUAGAAAAAAUAAACAGAGGACAAGAAGAAAAGAAAUAAAGAGGGAAAGUACUGAUGCAAUCCGUCAUGGAUCGAUGAAGAGGAUGAACUUGGCCAAAUGCUCUUGGCCCGAUCCGGGACGAAAAAAUCUCGGCACGAGCCAAAAUUAUCGUUAAUCGAUUAUUCUAAACCGGAACAAUCUCUUAACGACAGUUUUGAGUCAAGUGGCGUCUUAAAACGUUAUUUUUUCUUCUGAUUUUCGAAUCCAAACUUGAGGUGAAGAUUGGGAAUUUUGGGGAGAUUGGCACCAGAUUAAUAUUUGCAGAGGUAGGGGAUAAAUGGUGAGAGUUUUAGAGUGAUUCAGAAUUUUUUUCCUUUAAAAAUGGUGGAACUUAGAGUUGCACUAGGGUUGAGAAAGGUGGAAGAGACGAGGAAGAUGAAAGAUGAGGAACUGAUGAGUCUGGUCUCUGAAGAGAAUUUUGAUAUAUUAAUGGUAAUGAGGGGUGUAAUUUUGGCCGUUGGAUGAGCCAAGAUUAAGGGCUCAGAUCACUUUGAGCCUCUAACUUGAAGCGAUGUCGUUUGGACAUGGGGUAGAGGCGGGUCAGGCUUCAAUUUGGACGGGUUUUGAGGGGUAAACCUUUUGGGCCCGGAGAUUGCUUUAAAGACGGGGUUUUGACACAACUAUUCAUAAAAAUAAAACUAUUUAUCCUUAUCUACCUAUUUGUUUUUCCUACCCAUAAACUAAUUACAUUUUCUACCCAUAAUAGAUUUUGUGGGGAAUUUCUCCUUUAAUCUCCAAUUCUUUUUUAUGUUUAUGUUUAUGUUUCUUUUCUUUUCUUUUUUCUUUUUUCUCUUUUCUCCUUCUUUCCUCGUUUUCUUCUCAAUUUUUUCUUUUUUCCUAUUCUAAUUUUAUUUAACUUCUUUUUUGUAUAUUUUUUUUCUCUUCACAAUUUAAUUUUAUUUAUUAUUUUCACUAUUUUUAUUAUUCUUAUAUAUAUAUAUAUAUAUAUAUAUAUAUAUAUAUAUAUAUAUAUAUAUAUAUAUNNNNNNNNNNNNNNNNNNNNNNNNNNNNNNNNNNNNNNNNNNNNNNNNNNNNNNNNNNNNNNNNNNNNNNNNNNNNNNNNNNNNNNNNNNNNNNNNNNNNNNNNNUGUAUUUUUUUUAUUCAUAGACUAAUUACAUUUUUUAUCCAUAAUAGGUUUUGUGGGAAAUUUUUCCUUUAAUCUCCAAUUUUUUUUUUCUAUGUUUUUUCUCUUUUCUCCUUUUCUUUUUAUUUUUUUCUUUUUUCCUAUUCUAAUUUAAUUUAACUUCUUUUUUAUAUGCUUUUUCUCUUCAUAAUCCAAUUUCAUUUACUAUUUUUUAUUAUUCUUUUUUAUAUAUAUUAUUACUAAAUAAAAAUUAAAUCGUGUACCAAUUAAAUGUAGAUAAUACAACCAAAAAAAUAUUAAUUAACAUUUGAUACCAGUAUAGUAUAUAGUUAUACCAACAAGGUAUACAAUUGUACGCAAAGAGAUAAAAAAAGUUUAACUCAAUUAUUAAACUGAAAUAAUAUCAGUUGUCAAUAAAAAAUUUUAAAAAUCUAAAAGAAUAUAAUUUUAAGAGUACCGUUACAUUAUAUAGCAUACUAUAAUUUAUUUAUUUAUUUGCAUUUUCAAUUUGCCGCUCACGUUAGGUAAAAGUUUAAACAAAUAUUAAAAAAAAAGGCAAGUGAACUUACGGGUAAUAAGUAUAAUCAAGGGAAGACUCGGACAGCUGCCAAAGGGCUUCCCUUAGGGUACCUAUUAUACCACUUCCCAGAAUAUAAGACAAGAAGGAGGUUCGACAUCACUCGUGACACAAGAAGGUCAGCUCACCAAAUGGGGGAAGAAAGGUCAGCACUUUAGAGGCUUGCUUCGCUCAAAGGUGGGAAUAAAGGUCAGCACUUGAGGGGCUUGCUUCGGUAGGAGUCAAAAAGAAAAGGCUCAAGAAGGAACUACACUCGAAGAAUGGAAAGGAAGGCUUCGAAGGAGCUAAUACGAUUGUUCUCGAAGCAAAGGCACAACUAGUGACAUUCCUCGCCACUUCACUGAAAGAAGAAAAGCUUUUUUCUUUCUUUUAUCCAUACCUUCAACUGGACAUCGUUCUCUGGAAAAUUCUAAAGCUUUCAUAUCUGCUGUGGAUAAUUCUAGUUCCAAAUUGAUGCCCUGUCAGGAACAGAAGGAGCGAAUCUCCUUCUCUUUACAUACGCAAUUUCGGAAUAGUCUAGUUGAUAAGAUUCACUCACAGGAAGAAUUCGAGUGAAAUUGUUUUUGAGUUCAAAGAAGACGCCUCCAACUACUUAGGGGAACCCACUCUUCUUCCUUGUGUUCGAUUAGGGUCCCCUGCCCUCCAUUCUCUCAAGUACCUCUCCGCUUCAAUGUCUUACGAUCUUACGAUCUCCGCGGAGACGGAGACGGAAACCCUCCGCAGAUGGGUAGAGAAUAUAAGCGGGGUACCUUAGCUUAUGCCAGGUUGAAACCUUCCUUUAAUAAGUCCCCCACAAAAAAGCAAAAGAAGAAAGAAAAGAAUGUCCUAGUUCUGCACCAGUGUCUAUCGCGCCUAACCUUUGAAAUUGAGCUGCUUCUCUCUCUUGUUUCUUAUCUAGUUCCGGCCAGUGGCUUGGAAGCAAGCUGCAGUUCCUUUUCGGGCGGCUAGAGAUUUUUUAGUUAUCGUUUUCUGACCUAGCGACCCCUGUCCUUCUCCUUUGUUUCUAAACUAGCAGAAUCGUGGGACAUCAAAAGCGGUAAGUUGAUUGUUGGUUUUUAUUCCUCACUCUCGUAUAGGUUAACUUGGUUCGUUCCAUUCUUAGGGAUAAGAAGGAUCCACUGGAAAGACUGGAGUAGUAUCUUCAUUAGCCGGAAGGAAUUAGUCUCCACUAGCGUCAUUCGAAGAACGAACAAGAAAGGGGUCAAAUUGGUUCGUUCCACUCUUAGGGAUUAGAAGGAUCCACUGCAAAGACUGGAGUAGUAUCUUCAUUAGCCGGAAGGAAUUAGUCUCCACUAGCGUCAUUCGAAGAACGAACAAGAAAGGGGUUACUGUUUAGGAUAGAUGGAUGUGGCCCAAUGGCUAAAGCUCUGCCAGCUUCUUGUAGACUGAACUCUCUUAUUAUAGUAUAUCGUAUACUAUUACAACAUAUUGUUAUAAUAUCUUUCAUAUUAUUACAAUAUAUCAUAACAAUAUAUUUGUAUACAAUAAUGGUAUAAUGUUGUAGUAGGACUAUAUACUCCCAUAGUAUAUUAGAAUAGUGUAGCGGUAUACUCUUAGGUAACAGUGUGCUUCUUCGAUUAUUACUGUAGUUGUGUUCUUCUUCGAUUUUGAACUGAAGAUUUCGAUCUCAAUCACCUCAAAGUAGCUCCAAGUCUCGACCAAGGUGACUCAACGCUUGGUUAAAGUUGCCAAUCGAUAUUUUAAUCACGCAAGUCAAAUCUAAUCAAACAAUUAAAAACUCGACAAACGCAAUUUAUGAUUUUUCAAGUUUCAAGGUCUUUCAGUGGUUGAUCUAAUUUUUCUUACAAUAAAUCACUAUGAACUUCUUUAAGUCAAAAAUACAAAGAAGCAACCUAGAAUGAACAAUGCCCAUCGCAUUUCACAAGGUCAUGGUUCAAAGUAUAAUAAUAACUGACUGAACUUCUCAAAAGAUAUUAGAAAUAAUUAUUUGUAACGCUAAACAACGUUCAAGUUCUGCUUCGUUGCAGGUACCAAUUGUUUCGAUUUUGAAAAUUUUGCUAAUUACUUUUAAUAUUAAUCACUUAACACUCUAUUACUAAAUUGAUAGAGUUCUACAUCCCUUUUGUUAGUAGCAGUUGAUAUUUCAAGAAUUGUUGUUCCUGAAGGCAUUGAUAGAAUUAAGGUUUUGAUUGGCGUGGAAAAACACCUAAAAUGUAGUUUCCUAUUUCGUAUGUCUUCAGCAAGCAAAGGGGAAUUUGCAAGUCAACGGUGUUUGAGCAGUUAAAAAUUAUACUUUGUCAGAGAUUAGCAACGAUAACGAGUUGGAGAAGCAGUUGAGCUGGGGACAAACCGCGCGUUCAUAUUAUUAGGGAAAAACCGGGUCAAUAGUUUAGGUUCCCAUAGGUAUGAGUAAUAAAUAGUUUGGGCAUGUGCAUUAAAGGGUAAAUAGUUUAAAAUUAAUUUGUAUAAAGUGAGAUUUUCUCUUUAAAGACAGCCAAAACUUGACCUCUCAUUUUACUUAUUUGAUUUGAAAACAAAUUAUCCUAAAAUUCUUUUUCUUCUCUUUUUUUUUUCAAAAUAUCCUAAAUUAAAUCUUGGAACCUAAUCAACUUAAGCAAAAAUUAUUAAGGCCUAAAUGAUAAUUAACACAAAUAAUAAAAAUAAACUAAAAGAAAACUACUUCGAAAAUGCAAAUUAGCUAUUUUUGUGAUUUUUCCUUUUUAUAAAACGCCUUAAUUACUUAAUUAAUCCUACAAUGCAAAAUUAAAUCCUAAAUGCAAAUGCACAUAUAGUUUUUAAUAUUUUUUAUGAACUAUAUAAAAUAAACAUGCACAAACAAAUGCAAACAAUUAACAUAAAAUGUCACGAAAAUUAACAAAAUUGUAAAUAAUGAAAAGAAAUUAUUCUGUUUGAAAUUAUGGGAGUGAUUCAUAUAUGGCAAAAAUUACGUGCUCAUACCUCAUAUUAUGAAUGUUACUGGAUUUUAUGGCAAAACAACCUCCUCACAACGGUCAUGAAAUUCUAGGGCUAAUCCGAACUGAUUCCUCAAUUCUCUCAAAUCUUCGACACAAUAGAGUUGAUUCUUCAACAAUAGUCCCCAAUUCCGCAACAAUUCAGCUUGGAAACGACUUGAAUCUAUGGCUCUAAUACCAUAUUGAAAGGGAGUAUAUGAGCUGAAUCGAUCGAAGAGGAAAGAUGCAGACGAAGAGAGAGAAGAAAGAGAACAAUACUAUGUUGUGAU